rnacentral:rRNA from 1 species
GACGUAGGGCGCGAGCGUUGUCCGGAUUUAUUGGGCGUAAAGAGCUCGUAGGCGGCUUGUCGCGUCGACUGUGAAAACCCGCGGCUCAACCGCGGGCCUGCAGCCGAUACGGGCAGGCUAGAGUUCGGGUAGGGGAGACUGGAAUUCCUGGUGGUAGCGGUGAAAUGCGCAGAUAUCAGGAGGAACACCGGUGGCGAAGGCGGGUCU